rnacentral:rRNA from 1 species
UACAGAGGUCUCAAGCGUUGUUCGGAUUCAUUGGGCGUAAAGGGUGCGUAGGCGGCGGGGCAAGUCGGAUGUGAAAUCUCAGGGCUCAACCCUGAAACUGCAUUCGAUACUGCCGUGCUUGAGGACUGGAGAGGAGACUGGAAUUUACGGUGUAGCAGUGAAAUGCGUAGAGAUCGUAAGGAAGACCAGUGGCGAAGGCGGGUCUCUGGACAGUUCCUGACACUGAGGCACGAAGGCCAGGGGAGCAAACGGG